GUGGGGUAACGGCCUACCAAGGCGAUUACGGGUAGCCGGCCUGAGAGGGCGACCGGCCACACUGGGACUGAGACACGGCCCAGACUCCUGCGGGAGGCAGCAGUGGGGAAUAUUGCGCAAUGGGCGAAAGCCUGACGCAGCGACGCCGCGUGGGGGAUGACGGCCUUCGGGUUGUAAACCUCUUUUACCACCAACGCAGGCUCCGGGUUCUCCCGGGGUUGACGGUAGGUGGGGAAUAAGGACCGGCUAACUACGUGCCAGCAGCCGCGGUAAUACGUAGGGUCCAAGCGUUGUCCGGAAUUAUUGGGCGUAAAGAGCUCGUAGGCGGCGUGUCGCGUCUGCUGUGAAAGACCGGGGCUUAACUCCGGUUCUGCAGUGGAUACGGGCAUGCUAGAGGUAGGUAGGGGAGACUGGAAUUCCUGGUGUAGCGGUGAAAUGCGCAGAUAUCAGGAGGAACACCGGUGGCGAAGGCGGGUCUCUGGGCCUUACCUGACGCUGAGGAGCGAAAGCAUGGGGAGCGAACAGGAUUAGAUACCCUGGUAGUCCAUGCCGUAAACGUUGGGCGCUAGGUGUGGGGACUUUCCACGGUUUCCGCGCCGUAGCUAACGCAUUAAGCG
rnacentral:rRNA from 1 species